rnacentral:rRNA from 1 species
UAUACAAUCUACCUUUAACUGAGGGAUAGCCCAGAGAAAUUUGGAUUAAUACCUCAUAGUAUUAUAAUUAGGCAUCUUUUUAUAAUUAAAACUUCGGUGGUUAAAGAUGAGUAUGCGUACUAUUAGCUAGUUGGUAAGGUAAAAGCUUACCAAGGCAACGAUAGUUAGGGGGCCUGAAAGGGUGAUCCCCCACACUGGUACUGAGACACGGACCAGACUCCUACGGGAGGCAGCAGUGAGGAAUAUUGCACAAUGGAGGAAACUCUGAUGCAGCCAUGCCGCGUGCAGGAAGAAUGCCCUAUGGGUUGUAAACUGCUUUUAUACAAGGAGAAACCUCGGUACGUGUACCGACUUGACGGUAUUGUAUGAAUAAGCACCGGCUAACUCCGUGCCAGCAGCCGCGGUAAUACGGAGGGUGCAAGCGUUAUCCGGAUUUAUUAGGUUUAAAGGGUCCGCAGGCGGAAUAUUAAGUCAGUGGUGAAAGCCUACAGCUCAACUGUA